GUGCCAGCAGCCGCGGUAAUACGUAGGGGGCAAGCGUUGUCCGGAUUUACUGGGUGUAAAGGGCGCGCAGGCGGAUUAGCAAGUCAGAGGUGAAAUCUCCCGGCUUAACCGGGAAACUGCCUUUGAAACUGUUAAUCUUGAGUGCGGAAGAGAGAGACGGAAUUCCAGGUGUAGUGGUGAAAUACGUAGAUAUCUGGAAGAACACCAGUUGCGAAGGCGGUCUCUUGGUCCGUAACUGACGCUCAGGCGC
rnacentral:rRNA from 1 species